rnacentral:rRNA from 2 species
UUGAAUGCUAAGAGAAUGGAACUACAAAGAACAGCUAUUUUAAACUUAAAAAUUAAAGUUAUUUUAAUUUGUGAAGAAACAAUUAUUAAAAUUAGGGACAAGAAGACCCUAAGAAUUUUAUAAUUAAUAACUUUUUAUAAUGAAAACUUAUUAAUUUUUAGUUGGGGCAACUAAAAAAUAUUAUGAACUUUUUAAUAAAUAAAAUGAGCCAUUAUUAAUGAUAAUUUGAAAAAAUACUCUAGGGAUAACAGCGUAAUAAUUUUUGAUAGAACAUAUAGACAAAAUAGUUUGCGACCUCGAUGUUGGAUUAGGAUCCUUUUUUAAUGAAGA